UACGUAGGGGGCUAGCGUUGUCCGGAAUCAUUGGGCGUAAAGCGCGCGUAGGCGGCCAGAUAAGUCCGGUGUGAAAGUCACAGGCUCAACCUGGGAACUGCAUUCGAGACUGCAUUGCUAGAGUAUGGGAGAGGGAAGUGGAAUUUCCGGUGUAGCGGUGAAAUGCGUAGAUAUCGGAAGGAACAUCAGUGGCGAAAGCGACUUCCUGGACCAAUACUGACGCUCAUGUGCGAAAGCGUGGGGAGCAAACAGG
rnacentral:rRNA from 1 species